rnacentral:rRNA from 1 species
AGAGUUUGAUCCUGGCUCAGGGCGAACGCUGGCGGCAGGCCUAACACAUGCAAGUCGAACGGAUCCUUCGGGAUUAGUGGCGGACGGGUGAGUAACACGUGGGAACGUGCCCUUUGGUUCGGAACAACUCAGGGAAACUUGAGCUAAUACCGGAUGUGCCCUUCGGGGGAAAGAUUUAUCGCCAUUGGAGCGGCCCGCGUCUGAUUAGCUAGUUGGUGAGGUAAAGGCUCACCAAGGCGACGAUCAGUAGCUGGUCUGAGAGGAUGAUCAGCCACAUUGGGACUGAGACACGGCCCAAACUCCUACGGGAGGCAGCAGUGGGGAAUCUUGCGCAAUGGGCGAAAGCCUGACGCAGCCAUGCCGCGUGAAUGAUGAAGGUCUUAGGAUUGUAAAAUUCUUUCACCGGGGACGAUAAUGACGGUACCCGGAGAAGAAGCCCCGGCUAACUUCGUGCCAGCAGCCGCGGUAAUACGAAGGGGGCUAGCGUUGCUCGGAAUUACUGGGCGUAAAGGGAGCGUAGGCGGACUGUUUAGUCAGAGGUGAAAGCCCAGGGCUCAACCUUGGAAUUGCCUUUGAUACUGGCAGUCUUGAGUACGGAAGAGGUAUGUGGAACUCCGAGUGUAGAGGUGAAAUUCGUAGAUAUUCGGAAGAACACCAGUGGCGAAGGCGACAUACUGGUCCGUUACUGACGCUGAGGCUCGAAAGCGUGGGGAGCAAACAGGAUUAGAUACCCUGGUAGUCCACGCCGUAAACGAUGAGUGCUAGUUGUCGGCAUGCAUGCAUGUCGGUGACGCAGCUAACGCAUUAAGCACUCCGCCUGGGGAGUACGGUCGCAAGAUUAAAACUCAAAUGAAUUGACGG